CAGCCGUAAACUAUGCUCGCUAGGUGUCAGGCAUGGCGCGACCGUGUCUGGUGCCGCAGGGAAGCCGUGAAGCGAGCCACCUGGGAAGUACGGCCGCAAGGCUGAGACUUAAAGGAAUUGGCGGGGGAGCACAACAACGGGUGGAGCCUGCGGUUUAAUUGGAUUCAACGCCGGACAUCUCACCGGAUAAGACAGCAAUAUGUAGGCCAGGCUGAAGACCUUGCCUGAAUCGCUGAGAGGUGGUGCAUGGCGUAGACGUCU
rnacentral:rRNA from 1 species